rnacentral:rRNA from 1 species
AGCUCCAAUAGCGUAUAUUUAAGUUGUUGCAGUUAAAAAGCUCGUAGUCGGAUUUCUGCCUAUAUAGCGGGUCCGCUUCGGUGUGCACCCGUCAAUAUGGGCAUCUAGGUUUAGUGACGUAUUGUGAUUGAUUUCAUGGACGUCGCUGAACCGCUGAUACUUUGAGAAAAUUAGAGUGCUCCAAGCAGGCGCUUGCCGUGAAUACUGCAGCAUGGGAUAUCAAGAAAGCUUUCCUAUCUUUCUUGUUGGUUCUCGGAUUGGAAAGAAUAUUCAAUAGAAACAGUUGGGGGUGUUCCUAUUGCUUAGUCAGAGGUGAAAUUCUUGGAUUUAAGCAAGAGGAUCUGCUGCGAAAGCGUUCACCAAGGAUGUUUUCA